UGUAAAUAUGACUUUUGCUGAAUUGCUGCCUUUAACAUAUUUUGGAUCCUUUAUUUUUCCUGGAAAAUUUUCAUUAUUCACUGUCUUUUUGAACAGCCCUUAGCUGCCCUUCAACCUGACUCCUUAGCUGACCCAUUUUCCCUGAUGCCCAUUCUGAUGGGACAUGUGGGUAAAUAGAUUUUCCUAAAAUGCCCUUUUGGGGUGCUGACACCUUUAAAAGUUAUAUACGUACAGGUCUACACAUCCCACAGACCAAGACUGCUUCUGGGAGUGAGAAAUCACAGUAAUAAUGAAUAGAAUGAGAGAAGCAGUGUCUAGGAAUCAGACCAUGGAUAUGUGAAUACAGAUGGUGACUGGAGAGCUGCGGAGACCAGCGGGGUUCUGACGUCUCUGAGCCAUGGGAAAGUGCGUGUCCUGGUGCCAACAUCAGAUAUUGUGUGGCUGCCCUGUGGUUCCUACACGGCUGCUCAGUAAGGACCAUUCAAUCGAAGAAAUCCAGGCCUGGGAUCUUGGCCCUGUGCUCACUGAUGGGCACUUGGCCGCUGUGUCCCCUCUGGCCUGGCAGAGUUCCCUGAGCAGGGACCUGUGUAUGGUCUCAACAGGUGCUUCCUCCCAGGGCCUUGCAAGAAGAAAAGCAAACCUUCCUCCUCCUCAGUCUGCAGAGUGAGCUGAGCUGCAUCCCCAGGGCUCAGGGAGGGGCUGGGCAGUCCCUGGGUGGAAACACGUUUGCAUGAGCAGCCCCUCCUCUGCAGAGGGUGGGAAGAAAAGGAGGCCUGGGGCAGCCCAGUCCCACUGCGGGGAAAGAGGCUGUGUCCACCAUGGCCUGGACUCCUCUCCUCCUCCUGCUCCUCUCUCACUGUACAGGUUCCCUCUCCCAGCCUGUGCUGACUCAGCCGGCCUCCCUCUCAGCAUCUCCUGGAGCAUCAGCCAGACUCACCUGCACCUUCAGCGGUGGCAUCAAUGUUGCUGGCUACUACAUAUACUGGUACCAGCAGAAGCCAGGGAGUCCUCCCCGGUAUCUUCUGUGGUACAAAUCAGACUCAGAUAAGGGCCAGGGCUCUGGAGUCCCCAACCGCUUCUCUGGAUCCAAAGAUGCUUCGGUGAACACAGGGAUUUUACACAUCUCUGGGCUCCAGUCUGAGGAUGAGGCUGACUAUUACUGUGCCAUUUGGCACAGCAGCGCUUCUCACAGUGACACACACAGAUGGGGAAGUGGGACAAAAUCUCACCCUGCUCUGGGUCUUGCUCUGUAACCAUUUUUAAAUUGUAAAAUGACUGGGCUAGGCACAAACGACAUUCGGAUGUACUUUCUAGUUGUUAAAGGCUCUUCUGUCAAUUUCCCAUCCAUUUUUCUGAUGUCUCAGUAAAACAAAAACAGAACAAAAGAAAACCACCUGAUGACCCUGAAGUGUUGGCUGCGUGUCCAUGUGUGCUAACAUCAGUACCUGUGGAGCUGGACUUUUUUCUUGAAAGAAGCAAAAUGAGGCUUUUCAAGCUCACAUCAUGCUCAGAGCCUGGGAUAUCCUGCAGAGACAUCCUUGGGGAGGCUGUGAUAACAGAAUGAUGCCAAAAUGCUAAUGGAAGUGAGCAGGGGAUGGUUUAUGGGGAAAUGAGGAGACGGGUGUGGGGUCAGAUGUGGUAAGGAGGGUUCAGCCUGAAGAGGAGGCUGUCCAUUGUGACUCAUAGGAGGAGGAGGAGGUCUGGAGCCUAGAGCAGUGACAAAAGGAGGACCUGGAAUGACCUGGGCCAUCAAGAUACACAGGGACUGGGGGUCUCUGUCUCUGAGGGUUCCUGAGGAGGAUCAUAUAAAAAAAUCUAUAGUCAGUGU